rnacentral:rRNA from 1 species
GACAGAGGGGGCAAGCGUUGCUCGGAAUUACUGGGCGUAAAGCGCACGUAGGCGGCUUUGUAAGUUAGAGGUGAAAGCCCGGGGCUCAACCCCGGAAUUGCCUUUAAGACUGCAUCGCUAGAAUUGUGGAGAGGUAAGUGGAAUUCCGAGUGUAGAAGUGAAAUUCGUAGAUAUUCGGAAGAACACCAGUGGCGAAGGCGACUUACUGGACACAUAUUGACGCUGAGGUGCGAAAGCGUGGGGAGCAAACAGG